rnacentral:rRNA from 1 species
UGCCCAGCAGCUAGCCCAACCCCUAAAACCAACAAACCCCAUCAAUUAAUCCUAAAUAUACUCAAACUUGACUAAACAAACCAUUUUUCCCCCUUAGUAUAGGCGAUAGAAAAGGACACGCCGGAGCAACAGAAAAAGUACCGCAAGGGAAAGCUGAAAGAGAACUGAAAUAAUCCAGUAAAGCCUAAAACAGCAGAGACUCAAACUCGUACCUUUUGCAUCAUGAUUUAGCCAGAAACCCCAAGCAAAGAGCACUUCAGUUUGGUCCCCCGAAACUAAGUGAGCUACUCCAAGCCAGCCUAUUAUAGGGCAAACCCGUCUCUGUGGCAAAAGGGUGGGAAGAGCUUCGAGUAGCGGUGACAGACCUAUCGAACUUAGUUAUAGCUGGUUGCCUGGGAACUGGAUAGAAGUUCAGCCUCCUAGCUUCUUCACUCACUUUUGUCUUUACUUCCCUCGACACCCUAGAGAAGCUUAGAGAGUUAGUCAAAGGGGGUACAGCCCCUUCGACACAAGACACAACUUUACCAGCAGGGUAAAGAUCAAAAACUUUCAUAGAAACCUGGACGUCGCGGUGGGCCUAAAAGCAGCCAUCCGAACAGAAAGCGUUAAAGCUCAGAUACGUCUCUUUUUCUUCAAUCCCGAUAAUCAAAUCUUAACCCCCUAGUCGUACCAGGCCUUUCCAUAUCUCUUAUGGAAGAGAUUAUGCUAAUAUGAGUAAUAAGAAGGCCCCGACUUUCUCCCCACACAAGUGUAUAUCGGAACGGACCAACCCCCGAAUAUUAAACGGUCCCAGACAAAGAGGGUAAUGAACCAUCACCCACAACAACAAGAAAAGCAUUCAACUAUAUAUACCGUUAACCCUACACUGGAGUGUUAUUAAAGGAAAGACCAAAAGAAAGAGAAGGAACUCGGCAAACACAAGCCUCGCCUGUUUACCAAAAACAUCGCCUCUUGCAAAAUCAAUGAAUAAGAGGUCCUGCCUGCCCUGUGACUGCAUGUUUAACGGCCGCGGUAUCCUGACCGUGCGAAGGUAGCGCAAUCACUUGUCUCUUAAAUGGGGACCUGUAUGAAUGGCUCCACGAGGGUUUAACUGUCUCCUCUUUCCAGUCAAUGAAAUUGAUCUCCCCGUGCAGAAGCGGGGAUAAAGACAUAAGACGAGAAGACCCUAUGGAGCUUUAGACGCCGAGGCAGACUAUUCCUACCACCCCUAAAGCCAGGCCUAAACCAAAUAGUUCCUGCCCCAAUGUCUUCGGUUGGGGCGACCACGGGGCAAUAAAAAACCCCCGCGUGGACCGGGAAAUAACCUCCUAAAAGCAAGAGCUCCCGCUCUAACUAUCAGAACUUCUGACCAAAAGUGAUCCAGCUAAUCCUGAUCAACGGACCAAGUUACCCUAGGGAUAACAGCGCAAUCUUCUUCUAGAGUCCAUAUCGACAAGGAGGUUUACGACCUCGAUGUUGGAUCAGGACAUCCUAAUGGUGCAGCCGCUAUUAAGGGUUCGUUUGUUCAACGACUAAAGUCCUACGUGAUCUGAGUUCAGACCGGAGUAAUCCAGGUCAGUUUCUAUCUAUGAAAUGAUCUUUUCUAGUACGAAAGGACCGAGAAGCUGGGGCCAAUGACAAAAUUAUGCCUCUCCCUCACCUGAUGAAAUCAAAUCAAGUAGGUAAUUGGACAUACUCAGCGCGCCCUAGAAAACGGUAU